UACGUAGGGUGCGAGCGUUAAUCGGAAUUACUGGGCGUAAAGCGUGCGCAGGCGGUUUUGUAAGCCAGAUGUGAAAGCCCCGGGCUUAACCUGGGAAUGGCAUUUGGGACUGCAAGGCUGGAGUGUGGCAGAGGAGACUGGAAUUCCUGGUGUAGCAGUGAAAUGCGUAGAUAUCAGGAGGAAUACCGAUGGCGAAGUCAGGUCUCUGGGCUGACACUGACGCUCAUGCACGAAAGCGUGGGGAGCAAACAGG
rnacentral:rRNA from 1 species